UAAGGAAUAUUGCGCAAUGGACGAAAGUCUGACGCAGCAACGCCGCGUGCAGGAUGAAGGCCCUUUGGGUUGUAAACUGCUGUAGCAAGGGAAUAAAGGCCCGUUAUGCGGGUUUGAAGGUACCUUGAAAGUAAGCUCCGGCUAACUACGUGCCAGCAGCCGCGGUAAUACGUAGGGAGCAAGCGUUGUCCGGAUUCACUGGGUGUAAAGGGUGCGCAGGCGGAUUGGUAAGUCAGAGGUGAAAUCUCACAGCUCAACUGUGAAACUGCCUUUGAUACUGCUGAUCUUGAGUUAGGGAGAGGUUGAUGGAAUUCCAGGUGUAGCGGUGAAAUGCGUAGAUAUCUGGAAGAACACCAGUGGCGAAGGCGGUCAACUGGCCCUAAACUGACGCUCAUGCACGAAAGCGUGGGGAUCAAACAGG
rnacentral:rRNA from 1 species